AAAUUGAAGAGUUUGAUCAUGGCUCAGAUUGAACGCUGGCGGCAGGCCUAACACAUGCAAGUCGAGCGGUAGCACAGAGAGCUUGCUCUCGGGUGACGAGCGGCGGACGGGUGAGUAAUGUCUGGGAAACUGCCUGAUGGAGGGGGAUAACUACUGGAAACGGUAGCUAAUACCGCAUAAUGUCGCAAGACCAAAGUGGGGGACCUUCGGGCCUCAUGCCAUCAGAUGUGCCCAGAUGGGAUUAGCUAGUAGGUGGGGUAACGGCUCACCUAGGCGACGAUCCCUAGCUGGUCUGAGAGGAUGACCAGCCACACUGGAACUGAGACACGGUCCAGACUCCUACGGGAGGCAGCAGUGGGGAAUAUUGCACAAUGGGCGCAAGCCUGAUGCAGCCAUGCCGCGUGUGUGAAGAAGGCCUUCGGGUUGUAAAGCACUUUCAGCGGGGAGGAAGGCGGUGAGGUUAAUAACCUCAUCGAUUGACGUUACCCGCAGAAGAAGCACCGGCUAACUCCGUGCCAGCAGCCGCGGUAAUACGGAGGGUGCAAGCGUUAAUCGGAAUUACUGGGCGUAAAGCGCACGCAGGCGGUCUGUCAAGUCGGAUGUGAAAUCCCCGGGCUCAACC
rnacentral:rRNA from 1 species